AUUGAACGCUGGCGGCAUGCCUUACACAUGCAAGUCGAACGGCAGCACGGGUGCUUGCACCUGGUGGCGAGUGGCGAACGGGUGAGUAAUACAUCGGAACGUACCUUAUCGUGGGGGAUAACGCAGCGAAAGUUGCGCUAAUACCGCAUACGCCCUGAGGGGGAAAGCGGGGGACCGUAAGGCCUCGCGCGAUUAGAGCGGCCGAUGUCUGAUUAGCUUGUUGGUGAGGUAAAAGCUCACCAAGGCGAUGAUCAGUAGCUGGUCUGAGAGGACGAUCAGCCACACUGGGACUGAGACACGGGCCAGACUCCGACGGGAGGCAGCAGUGGGGAAUUUUGGACAAUGGGGGCAACCCUGAUCCAGCAAUGCCGCGUGAGUGAAGAAGGCCUUCGGGUUGUAAAGCUCUUUUGUCAGGGAAGAAACAGCAGCUCUAACACAGUCUGCGAAUGACGGUACCUGAAGAAUAAGCACCGGCUAACUACGUGCCAGCCGCCGCCGUAA
rnacentral:rRNA from 1 species